rnacentral:rRNA from 1 species
AUACGUAGGUGGCAAGCGUUAUCCGGAUUUACUGGGUGUAAAGGGCGCGUAGGCGGGGAUGCAAGUCAGAUGUGAAAUCUAUGGGCUUAACUCAUAAACUGCAUUUGAAACUGUAUCUCUUGAGUGCUGGAGAGGUAGACGGAAUUCCUUGUGUAGCGGUGAAAUGCGUAGAUAUAAGGAAGAACACCAGUGGCGAAGGCGGUCUACUGGACAGUAACUGACGCUGAGGCGCGAGAGCGUGGGGAGCAAACAGGAUUAGAUACCCUGGUAGUCCACGCUGUAAACGAUGAAUACUAGGUGUGGGAGGACUGACCCCUUCCGUGCCGCAGUUAACACAAUAAGUAUUCCACCUGGGGAGUACGGCCGCAAGGUUGAAACUCAAAUGAAUUGACGGGG